AAACAAAUAAAUAAAUAAAUAGACUUAGUCGUACUGGCUCCACACAGACACAGAAUCAUAGAAUCAUGGAAUCAUAGAAUCACAGUAUCCUAGACACAUAGAAGGUUUGAGGUGGAAGGGACCUUGUAGGUUACCUACUUCCAACUCUCCUGCUACGGGCAGGGACACCUUCUAUUAGACCAAGUUGCCCAAAGCCCCAUCCAACCCAGCCUUGAACACAGCAAUUCCAGGAAUGGGGCAUCCACAACUUCUCUUGGCAAGGGUAACCCUAAAGAAGCUACUUCUAUGCAGAUGCCUGGCAUUCAGAGUUCCUUGAAUGAAAGCCAUUAUCCACCUCCAGUCAGACCAUCCAGCAGAAAGAGCAAGGCAAUCUGAACAGCACAGAGGCAGCAGAGGAAGGGACUUCUUGCCUCUGCACUACAGGACACAUAUGUUCCUAUUUCUAUCAGGUAGCUAAAGAGGUCCACAGCUAAGGAAAAAGGCACAACUUC
rnacentral:lncRNA from 1 species